rnacentral:misc_RNA from 1 species
AGCAGCCGCGGUAAUUCCAGCUCCAAUAGCGUAUAUUAAAGUUGUUGCAGUUAAAAGCUCGUAGUUGAAUUUCGAGAUCAAAUUGUUGGUCGUGCCUUGGUACGCACUGGCAUUAUUGGUUUCUCCCUUCUGACGAACCAUGAUGUCAUUAAUUUGGUGUCUUGGGGAAUCAGGACUGUUACUUUGAAAAAUUAGCGUGUUUAAAGCAGGCUCACGCUUGAAUACAUUAGCAUGGAAUAAUGAAAUAGGACGUUUGAUUCUAUUUUGUUGGUUUCUAGGAUCGACGUAAUGAUUAAUAGGGAUAGUUGGGGGCAUUAGUAUUCAAUUGUCAGAGGUGAAAUUCUUGGAUUUAUUGAAGACUAACUACUGCGAAAAGCAUUUGCCAAGGAUGUUUUCAUUAAUCAAGAACGAAAGUUAGGGGAUCGAAGACGAUCAGAUACCGUCGUAGUCUUAACCAUAAACUAUGCCGACUAGGGAUCGGA